GUUGGUCACUUGUAAUACAGUAACAGUGUAAUGCAUCACUGCGGUAUAUCAUUAUAAUGGUAUUUUAUAGCACUAUUGCAAAAAUAAUUGCCCAUAUUUUCAUUCAAUCCUAUCUCAGCUGCAGUUCAGGUUUCUGCCACAAGGAGGUGCAGUCUACAGAUACAGUACUGUAUACCCUGUUCCUAAAAACAGAACCCCCAGCUUCGCACAAAUAUUUACUGCACCAUGUAUAACUGAUCAACUUCACGUAUGCACGCAUCUAGCAGUUUACUGUAUAUUAAUGAUUUGCUUGCAUGCACAUAUUUUGUUGACUUUUGCUGAUUUUCAUUUGGACAGAGUAGUGUGCAGCAGACAAUAAAUACUGGUUCAAGAGGAAAGUACCUAUUGUAAAAUGAUGUAAUUGCUUUUUUAGCAGGUGCUGGGGGACUGUCUGUAGCAAAAAGUAAGAAACCAGUAAAUGUUCAAGUUGCUAGUUUUUUCAGUCUAAAGAAGUCAUUCAGUUAUCAUGCCACCUAUUCUGUGUGUUAUUACUUGACAGGGAGACCUUGGCCUCUUCAACCCAGGGCUGCCUGUGGCUGGCUGGCGAUCAGUCUGAAGCAGAUGGGUGGAUGUUGAAAAACUGGAAGAGAUCAGACAGCAGGAGGAAGGAAUAAACGUUUACUCCGAUCCCCAAUCUGUAAUACAUGGAGCUGACCAAGUUAUUGCUAAACCAGUGAAACUGGAGGAAGCAGGGUGUAACUUGCACAAUAAAAACAGACUGAUUUGGCAAGCGAGAGAAUAAAAAAACCACAUGCUGUCAUGGAUAUUCAAACAAAUUGUAACAUUGAAGAGAUGGGCUUUGUAUCACUAAACUGGUGACGGAGUCGGAAAUCGCGUGUGACGGAACUUGAGUGACAUUUUGGCUGUUCCUGCUGCUACCAAAGACUACCAGUUGUCCUUGCAGUGUUUUCAAACCACUAACCCUCUACAAUAGGACACAUCACAUCCCUAACUGCAAGAGCUGUAUUGAGGAGUUCAUUUAGUCACAUGUGCAGCAAGAGCCACGAGGCGCACAGC